rnacentral:lncRNA from 1 species
CCCCACCCCCGGAAUCGCCCGCUCACCGCCUCACACAUGGCAGGAAAUAAAAGUUCUCUUGCUGUGAUCUGCUCACAACAUGGCCGAGCCCGCCCCAGCGGCGCGCUGCCCCUGGAGGAAACCGCGUGGGGGUGUGUCCACCAGGAGGCUGACUGCCACACCUCCCAGACGGAACACAGCCAUGCUGUCCUCAGGACAGGCAGCGGGAAAGAGGAGGAGGAAACGCGCGUGGUGUGCCAGCGAGAGCAGCAGGAAGCCACCGGGCCCCCCUGCAAGACCGACACCUCCCUGAUCACCGUCACCCCAGGAGAGUGAGUCUGGAACCCCACCCGGAGGCGCGUAUCACAGUUGUGAUCGAACCCGUGUGUUUCGAGUGUACUUGAACUAGGUCCGUUUUCCCUACUGACCUGAAGCGGCCCUGAGUGACUCUGCCCUAAGAAAAGGGCCGGGGUGCGCUCGCCAGCCCCCGGGGUGCGGUGACGCCACACGCGGAGGGGAUGGAGGGAGGGAAGCGGAAAACGCCGUGUUCAACUCGUUUUUAGGACGAACCCAACGCGUUCUUUCAUUUGCCAGUCCACCGCCUUCCCUCGCGGGGGCGAGUCUUUACGACACGACGCCAACAGGUUUUCCAGUUCACGCUGCGCGACCGGGUGUAUUUUUGAUAGGCUUGCCGCCAAGUUACACACCCGUCCAAAACGACGGUGGUUUUGCAAAAUCAGUUUCGUCUCAAACCACGCAUGUCUGCGGACGGUUGAAAUCGGCUUUCUUGUUCCUCCAAAUGCAGACCCAGACACAAUGAAACCAAGGGUCCAGUUUGCACCACACUACAAACUUCCGAAGCACACAGAGCUGGAGCGCGACCCUUAUAACAGACAAAGCUUGUCUUCAAUUUCCAAUCUUUACGUCAAGACGUGGGGGCAGCAGAAAGGCGCUGGCAGGAAGUACCUUUCUGUGUAGUUCACCACUUUGCACCAAGCGGACCCCCCACCCCCGGCCGGGGGUCAUCCCGAGGAGGCCCCACGACUGGCUGAGGGGCUCGUCUUAACCUCUCCAGGACGAAGAGAACCGCUCUCCUCUCCUCCGACAGCAAGUACACGGCGUCUCCUCCAACGUCAGUUUUCCAAAGAGCAACCGGGGGCCCUCAACUUAACCCUUUUCUGACGCUGGCCACCCACAGUUAGCACCAGACUCCACGGGUUAAGGGCUCAGUCCCACAAGACGCCCGCCUGCACAUCAGAAGCCAGUCUCAAGUCUCAGGGGCCCCGGGCGCCCACGCUUCUGUCCCACUUGGCCGCGAAACCGGGGUUCGCACAAAGCUGUUCAGGGGCCCUCGAACAGUCACCUCAGUAGCACGCACUCAAGUGUAGUUGAGAGAGGCUGGCUCUGAAAAACAAAAGAUACUCAUGACUCAGGAGAUGCCAAGGGCAUUAGGAACUGUGAGCCAGGAGCCUGGAAACGGGAAGCAGGUUCUUUUCAGAUACUGUGUAUUAAUGAAAUACAUUAAUUAAUGAUUAAUUAAUACAAUAAAUACAAUAAAUUAAUGAUGAGGUCA